rnacentral:rRNA from 1 species
GAGUUUUGAUCGUGGCUCAGGACGAACGCUGGCGGCGUGCCUAACACAUGCAAGUCGAACGGACCUAGCCUUGUAGCAAUACGGGGCGAAAGUUAGUGGCGAACGGGUGAGUAAUGCGUGAGCAACCUGCCUUUCAGAGGGGGACAACAGCUGGAAACGGCUGCUAAUACCGGAUGUAUUGUCCGAGAGGCAUCUCUUGGAGAAGAAAGCUGGCCUCUGAAAAUGCUAGCGCUUAGGGGAUGGACCCCGCGUCUGAUUAGCUAGUUGGUGGGGUAGCGGCCUACCAAGGCGACGAUCAGUAGCCGGCCUGAGAGGGUAAACGGCCACACUGGGACUGAGACACGGCCCAGACUCCUACGGGAGCAGGCAGUGGGGAAUCUUCCGCAAU